UCGAAUGAAAUCAAAGUGAAUUAAAUAUGAGAAACAAGGGAUUAGAUCAUCUGCUGCUGCUGCUGCCAGCAGGGACUGAAUUGCGAAACUGCAGGGACUGAAAUGUAAAUCUGCAGGUUGCAAUGCACUUUUGCAAUUUUCAGGGGCUAAGCUGCAUUUUCUGGACUUAUCCCUUCACCCUUAGUGGAAUACACCUGCCCAAAGGCAGAGAUUCCAUUUCUCUUCUCUCCUUAUCAUCUAUUUUCUUCUCUUUCUCCCUCUAGACUAAAGAAGGGUUGAGGGGAAUUGAGCUGGCAGCUUGGAGGGUUGUAAGCUGAGAAGAAACCUGAUACAAGCAGAAAUUUCUGAUGUUGGAGUUGUUGAGCAACCUGGAACAGCAUCUACUUAAGUAGUAGCAGACUUAAAGUUGUGAGCUAUUGGAGCUGAAGUCUUGUUGUUGUUGCUGCCGAAAGGAAGGAGAGGACCAGUUGAUGCAGUGAACAAGUUAAUUUAGCAUCAAGUGAGAAUUUAGAGCUGAAAGAGAAUUGAGCUGAGCACACUUGAGGGGAUCUUCGAAUUUAGGUAGAGAUGAAGUCUAAUUCCUGAACAAGAGUGAGUCUAAUUGUGGUAUAAAGAAGUUGAGAAUUGCUUCUAUGCUGGAAUUGUAGAGGGUUUAAAGGAGAAAGCCAAAGAGUGGCUGCUGCUUGGUGGUUCUGGAACUUCAGCUUGAAGGAAACCAGAUGGACUUUCCUAAGUGUUUCGAAUUGAAGAGGGGCCUGAUAGAGCUUUGAAAUUGGGACUGAACCUUGGAGAAUUGGUGGCUGCUGGAUGCUUGGCCGAAUUGAAGACAAGCAGGAAUUUCCUGCUAUUGGAGCUGAAACCAGGCUAACUGAGAAAUAAAUUGAGGUUCCAGUGCGAGCGGUGUGGCCAAGGAUCGUGGCAAGAGCCCCGCAGCUUAGCUAGUUGACACCAGAGUAUAGUAGUUUACCAUUUUGAGGUCAUGUGAGAUAUUUUGAUAUACAGAGACAUGUAAAUGAAUGUAUUAUAAAGUAUGUGAAUAACUAAAUGUUUCAGUUA